GCGGUUGACAGCAUUGAGAAACUAUGAAGGAAAAAGACAAACACAAACCAAGGAACUACAGAAUGAAAUCUAAAACAAGAAACAUGAAGGAAUGAAAUAAAAAAACCUUUGCAGCAAUAAUUGGAAAACCAAUUAUGUAUUGUUCCAGAGACAAAAAGAGAGAUCUGGGUGAGUGAAGAGGUGAAGAUGAAGUCAAAAUUCAUAUGCAUACAACACAUACAGUCCCAUUAGGAUACAUUUCAAAGAUACGAAGUCAAAUACACUUACAAUUCAUUUUGCUUCUUACUCUAAGACUCUUUCCAUGCUACUUUGACGUUGAUCCAUCUAUCCAAAUCAAACAUCAAUAACAUCAUUAGGUAAUACAUAUUUGUUGCCAUCAAUGAGAUAAGUACAUGGUUUUUAGGACAACUUAUAAAUUUUCAAACACAAUAUAAAACAAGUUGAAUACACUUACAAUUUAGUGGAUCUUGCUCUAUGAUUCUUUGAUUCUUUGACUGCUACUGUUUCCAUGCUCCAUAUACCCAAAGUAAACACAUCAGGGUCACAAAUAACCAUUUACUUUUGUUGAAAUAACCAUUUGUCUAAAUAACCUAAUCUUUACCUUGUAGACAAAAAGAAAAUAGAAUCACCAUAGUUAUUUGAAAUUUGAAAGUAAAACAGUAGUAGAUAAAACCUAAAUAGAAAAACCUAAAAGUAAAAAACUCUGAAAUGAAUAAAUUCACAAACCUUGCAACCGAAAGUAAACAAUAGAGAAAGAAGAUCAACACACAGUUCAAAUGUUAUUCUCGUCGUGAAAGUCAGUGAAAAAAGAGAUGAGAGUGGUGUGGUGGUUUCGCCGAGGUGGAGUUAAUGGUGGUGGCCGAUGUUCUUUUGGGUGAGUUGUGGUGGUGAUGAAUGACGAUGACGGUGAGUGGAGAGGAGCUUCUAGUUUUCCAAGUUGUGGUGAGAGAAAUACUGAACGAUAGUGAAGGAGAGAGAAGAGGGUUGAGGGAGUAGUAACCCAAGUACAAAAUCCAACAUUGUUAGCAUCUGUGUGAUUUGGGCGGGUCGAGUCAGGUACCUGCGGUUCAGUCUUUACCACCCGGACCCGCCCAUUUAAAUCCGACUGAACCCGGUUUCAUCACCCGGUGAAACCCGUUGAGCCGUCUGAACCCGCCCAAUUCCUUUUUUUUCUUUCGUUUUUGCUGGUGGUCGGGCUGUGCGGGUGUUUGUCCAGCCCCUAUACAUCAUAUUGUAUCAUUUAGAAAAACCACUCCAACCUGUAAAAUAUAAUCCUCUUUGGCUACACAGUAGAUUUAAAGAAGGCCACAAGCAACUCCCUGAAAAUUAAAAGAAAAUCAGCUAUGUCUCAUCAGGAGAAUCCACAAAUCUAACAACAUUACCUUAUCAUUCCAGCAGGCCGCUUUCCCUUCUGAGGAUCUCUAUUACUUUAAAGAGAUCUUGAAUUAUCUCCUCGCGGUGAACCUGGGCAGAAACAAUCCUCUGUAUCUUGUGACCCAAGGCCAGUCCAUUGAUGCCACACCUUACAAUGUACAACAAGCAAACAGAGUGAUAUUGAAAUAUGAUUUCAUAAAAAAAAACUUACACAUAAAUUAUGAAGAAACACAAAGCUUACUGCAGCUAUAGAGGGACUCAAGUCUCUCCCGUGAGGAUGUGUUACAUCACACCAAAUAUUAAUGUUGGCAUAUCAGUUACUAGAGGAAUUCUUUUCUCAAGGCAUCAUUCAACACCGUGUUACGGCCUCCAGACUACAUACAGUCAAGUAUAACAUGUUUAAAACUUCGAAGAAAUAAAAUCAAGCAGCAAAACAAGUGAACAUUUACGGAAUAACUUGAACCUUAACAUUGAUCUUUAACGCCAAAUUUUCAAGAUAUUGUUUAGUUCAUCUUUACGGCUUGUCGCGGUUGACAGCAUUUGAAACUAUGAAGGAAAAAGACAAACACAAACCAAGGAACUACAGAAUGAGAAUCUAAAACAAGAAAACAUGAAGGAAAUGAAAUAAAAAACCUUUGCAGCAAUAAUUGGAAACCAAUUAUGUAUUGUUCCAGAGACAAAAAGAGAGAUCUGGGUGAGUGAAGAGGUGAAGAUGAAGUCAAAAUUCAUAUGCAUACAACACAUACAGUCCCAAUUAGCAUACAUUUCAAAGAUACGAAGUCAAAUACACUUACAAUUUCAUUGCUCUUACUCUAAGACUCUUUCCAUGCUACUUUGACGUUGAUCCAU
rnacentral:lncRNA from 1 species